CAAUGGCUUUACUCUGUUACUAUUUGUUUUAAUAUUUUAAAUUCUAAAAACAACAAAUGGGGAUUGCUGGGAUUAUUGCAUGAUGUGAUUGAAUACUAUUGAGGAACGCGAUUUCACUACACUCUUAAGGACGCGGGGAACUGUGGAACGGUAUCUCAAACUCACUACGUACCGCUGCAGCAGAAACAAUUGGAUUUUGACAAGGCUAAGAACAUACUCAUGUAGAAACCAAAAAGGUAAUCUGUUGACCGCUGUCCAGGGCAUUUUGAGUUUAUGGAGGGCACAUUUCUCUAACCUGCUAAAUGGCAGUGAAGUGACAUGAAAUAUCUCAAUGACGUCCUAUGACUCUACAGCUUAUCGUUUUAUCGUCUGAGGUAUUCGCCGUGCCCUUUCUUUCGAAAACUCCUAGUGUCGUCUCAUUAGAUGUUGGCAUCGUCCACGCAUCUGCACCAUAAAUCAGGACAGGAAUAAGGAGCGAACUUGAAGAGUUACUUUACUUUUCAAAUGCCUACUCAGUCCAAAGCAGCGCCUGAUUGCCAAAGUUAUACUGCGUUGGAUUUCAUGGCUGGUUGGUGUUGUUGAUGCUGACUACAAAGUAGACGAAAUUGUCUAUGAAAGUUGUGCUCGUAAACAGUGACGUGAGAGCCAAAACGCGAAAGCGCUGACUUUCUCAAUCAAUAUUGUCUCACUAGAUCACACUACGAUGGAUAUAGCAUGGCGUUUGGAGAGUCGUAACCAGAAUGUGGAGCCUAAGGAAUUUAUGGACCGAAAACGAAUACUAUUAGAUAAUGGUGAUUUAUAUAUAGUCUUAGCGUUACUUUUGCUCUUACCUUGAAUAUGACAGUCAACGUAAAACUCAUUGCUACCUUGGAAAACUAAUUCCUUGUUUUCAAUUGAAGUAAAUAAAGGCAGCUCCCAUAGAAUUUUUUCACUUUCCGAAUGAUACCAAAUGAAAAUGUUGUCAUUUAUUUCGCGGCAUAUCCAUUUUCGAACUUUAAUUCCCUUACGAUCUGAAAUGUCAAUAUCCAAUUUAGUAUCGUGUAUAAAUAACCAUGUAUAAAUUAAUGGUUUUUAAAUACAUUCGUCUUCACCGAGUUUUAUUAAAACAUACCACAGACUGACCGUUUUAUCUGGAAUAAAUUUGCUUAGAAUAAAAUAUGAGUAUGAAGCAGUACAUUAUCAAAAGUACAAUAUCAGUCAAUUUGUAAGAUAUAUUAAUGAAAUUAAGUGAACAUAUUCCCUCAUAAUAAGCGCCUCUCGAACUUCCGAUUGACUUUAUCAUACACAUAUGUAUAUAUCGGUCAGUAUAUAAGAUAUCGUAGUAAAAUUAAGUAAACGGAUUAUCAUAGACGUAGUGAUGUUCAGUCCGGUAAAUAAAUGAUAUAUAAUGAUUUUACAUAUUCUGGCCAAUAUAUUUAAUAUUUCAAUGAAUUAAUGGCGACAUUUUUUGGUCAAAAACAAAUAAAGUCGGUUCUGUCUUUGGUCUAGCUCUCAUAUACCUAAAUUUAAGUAUAUUGUUCUAUACUUUUACAAAUCUGAAGGAGAAAAAAUUUAAACAGCUUGCGUUAAAUAUUACGGUUGGAAGUUAUACAUA